rnacentral:rRNA from 1 species
GAGUUUGAUCUUGGCUCAGAUUGAACGCUGGCGGCAUGCCUUACACAUGCAAGUCGAACGGCAGCACGGGAGCUUGCUCCUGGUGGCGAGUGGCGAACGGGUGAGUAAUGCAUCGGAACGUAUCCUGGAGUGGGGGAUAACGUAGCGAAAGUUACGCUAAUACCGCAUAUUCUGUGUGCAGGAAAGCGGGGGACCUUCGGGCCUCGCGCUCUUGGAGCGGCCGAUGUCGGAUUAGCUAGUUGGUGAGGUAAAGGCUCACCAAGGCGACGAUCCGUAGCAGGUCUGAGAGGAUGAUCUGCCACACUGGAACUGAGACACGGUCCAGACUCCUACGGGAGGCAGCAGUGGGAAUUUUGGACAAUGGGGGCAACCCUGAUCCAGCCAUGCCGCGUGAGUGAAGAAGGCCU